GUUAGGCUUACUUCGGUCGCACCAUUAAUUAAGGCACCGCGCGUCUGGAGGGAGGGGGACGUUUGUAGCUCGGUCUCCGGUGUUAUUUCAGCCGUUCAUUUAGGUUACCUGCGUGUGUCAUGUUUUUCAGGAGAUACCUUUAGAAAUGCAGAUUAUAGCUUCGAGGAAGGGGAAGGUCCAAAAAUCGUUAUUGGGGAGAAACAAGAAAAUGUUUGUCAGACUCAUUAUUUCAAAGUAGUGUUUUAAAAUAAGAUGCAGUUACGAGAUCUUGGUUGUUUUGGUCACGCCGAGGGACCGCUUGUGCGUGUUAUGCAGGGGUUUUAGCGUGGAGCAGAGGCUAGGCCUACAGCCAGCUGACUCGGUUCUGGUGUGAAACAGCUGUAAUGGGGGCUGGGGGGGGGAAAAAGCAUUUUUGAAGGUUGUGAAUUUGAAAGUGUACUCUUCCCGGUAAAAUCUUUCAAAUGCUAAUUUGAAGAAAGAGGCUUAACAUAAAUGGGGAGUGACUGGGACUACAGCAGCACCUGCAGCACUGAGGAGCCUGCUAGGGCUCCAGCAGAAAUCUUUUAACAGGAUAAUUUGGACUUCAGCUCUUGUGGAAUGUCUUGGACUUCCAGACUUCAGGCUGAACGUUACAUAGAGACGUAGAAACCAUUUGUCAUCGGAUGGGUUACUUUCAUCAGAGGCACGAUUUCAGAAAACGGGGAAAAACAAUGGCCUCGCCUGGAUUUUCUUUCUCUUUUCUUUAGUUUUGGUGGCUGAAAAAUAGUUUAGAUACUUGUAAAUAAAAAUUUGCGGGUGUUUAGCGCUGGCUGUAAGGUCAUCUGUGCGCGUGUUUUAAAGUGAUAGUUCAGCUGUGGCAGUUUCUAACAGUAGCUGUCAUGAGUCGUGGACAGUAGAACACAAACCGACUGGUAAAAAAUAAAGCUCACGGCCCUAUUAUUAUGUUAUGUUUAUAAGACGCGUGAAAUAAAAACACAAGUACUUUGGAAGUAUUCCUAACAUUUUCACAUCGUAUUCAAGUAACAGCAAAGAAGAGCCGCUAAACAUUCCAAUGGGUUUAUGCUACUCUUUGUAGGCCCCACCGCUGUACACGUGCUUGCCCCUUCUGCCACGAGCAGACUCACUGAAAUUAAUGGAACUCUCCUUGGUGGUGAAGUUAAACAUGUGUAAUUGUUGGUAAAAUAGGGCCUUAACGAGUAGCCAAAUAUAGGAAUAGACCUAUUCAGAAAUGUAGAUGUGAUACUUCGUUUUGGUUCACUGGUGUCGUAUCUGAUCCGGAGAACCCAGAUAUGUCAAUACCAGACUGUACGCGUUUACAGCAAAAGCAAAAACUGCCUCCCCCCGUUCUUGGCCUAAGUGAAGUAAAGAUUUUGGCUCCCAAUGCUUAUAAAUAUAAGAAGUGAUUUAGAGUUAUGGCUGAAAUGUUGUUAUUAAUUAUUCUGAAUGGAAAUACGACUGUAGCAUAUACUGGUAUUCCUGAAUAAUUCUUAUCUGUGAAGGGGACCCAGGCUCUAUCUUAACCCGAGUUACUCAUUCUUGGUUAGUUUUGCUGCCUGUCUUUAUUGCCUGUUUCAGUAUGCCUGAAGAGACAGGGUGUGGAUGUUGUAAGAUGGUUCAGGGGAGAAAUGGUGCCUGCAUAAAGAGUUGUAGGUAAAAACUGCUCUCUCAAUGCUUAUAAAACAUCAGUGAGCAAGGAGAGGAAAAAGGAGUAAGGCUGUAAUAUUAAAGUGGCAAAAUAUGCAAGCAGGUUUUAUGGAGAGAAUAGCAGGACUAUUAGGAAUUCAUGAGGGAGAAGGAAAGGAAGGGAGAAAGCAGAGGGGAACUUUGAAAUAUAACUGCUAAAAUACAGUUUUGAACAUGAGGCUCAAAAUGGAGGCUUGUGCUUUCAGGGUGUGCUAGCAGAGACCUGGCAUCCUAUAAAUACAAACUGUACCUCUGUGCCCAUUCUGCCACAGACAUACGUUUUCUGUUGUUGAGACAUAGGCUAAUGAGAGGAAUAAAUGAGUAGCCAGGAGAUGCAAAGGGGAAUCUUUCUAAAUUUUGCCAGUUAUGAUACUGCUCUUGUGAAAAAUACGUUUGCUUUAUAUAGAAAGCUACCGAUCUGGCAGCAUGGAGCAGCUCAAUUAAAUGCUGCUGUUCGAGUCUUUUUAGUGUGCAUGGAAAAACGGGUAUUGUAGGCAGAUGGGUUGCCCUGUGCACUGGCAUCCGUGCAGCACGGCAGAAAUAGCAUACAUCUACUUAUGGAAACUGGAGUAAAGUCGAGUGUUUUUUUUCUACUGCAGGUAUAUAAGGGAAUCAGAGGAGAGCUGCGGGGGGGCUGUUCGGAGCAUGCAGCCACAAAAGGUGCUGGUGAAUCCGGUAAAAGCACAAUAGUCAAACAGAUGAGGAUCUUGCAUGUGAAUGGCUUUAAUGCUGACUCCUGUCCCAGGACAUAGACGAGGUGUUACUGUGCUGGAAAAUUUGUGUGUUCAUGUCUGUUCAAGACUAUGAAAAGUUCCAUCUCAGCUGAACAACUAGUUAAGGGUUUUGAUCAAAAUUGGUGCCGUAGAACAUAAAAUGAAGGUGUGGGUGGAGAGGGGAGCAGGAUAUGUAUUUCAG